rnacentral:rRNA from 1 species
ACGGCGCCGGGAGCAUCCUGGUGGCGAGUGGCGAACGGGUGAGUAAUAUAUCGGAACGUGCCCAGUCGUGGGGGAUAACGUAGCGAAAGCUACGCUAAUACCGCAUACGAUCUAUGGAUGAAAGCGGGGGAUCGCAAGACCUCGCGCGAUUGGAGCGGCCGAUAUCAGAUUAGGUAGUUGGUGGGGUAAAAGCUCACCAAGCCUUCGAUCUGUAGCUGGUCUGAGAGGACGACCAGCCACACUGGAACUGAGACACGGUCCAGACUCCUACGGGAGGCAGCAGUGGGGAAUUUUGGACAAUGGGCGCAAGCCUGAUCCAGCAAUGCCGCGUGCAGGAUGAAGGCCUUCGGGUUGUAAACUGCUUUUGUACGGAACGAAACGGUCCUUUCUAAUACAAGGGGCUAAUGACGGUACCGUAAGAAUAAGCACCGGCUAACUACGUGCCAGCAGCCGCGGUAAUACGUAGGGUGCGAGCGUUAAUCGGAAUUACUGGGCGUAAAGCGUGCGCAGGCGGUUAUGUAAGACAGAUGUGAAAUCCCCGGGCUCAACCUGGGACCUGCAUUUGUGACUGCAUAGCUAGAGUACGGUAGAGGGGGAUGGAAUUCCGCGUGUAGCAGUGAAAUGCGUAGAUAUGCGGAGGAACACCGAUGGCGAAGGCAAUCCCCUGGACCUGUACUGACGCUCAUGCACGAAAGCG